UACGGGGGGAGCAAGCGUUGUUCGGAUUUACUGGGCGUAAAGGGCGCGUAGGCGGCCUGUGCAAGUCAGUUGUGAAAUCUCCGGGCUUAACCCGGAAAGGUCAGUCGAUACUGCGGGGCUAGAGUGCAGAAGGGGCAACUGGAAUUCUCGGUGUAGCGGUGAAAUGCGUAGAUAUCGAGAGGAACACCAGAGGCGAAAGCGAGUCACUGGACAGAACCUGACGCUGAGGCACGAAAGCCAGGGGAGCAAACGGG
rnacentral:rRNA from 1 species